rnacentral:lncRNA from 1 species
UUAGACCCCUGCAACGUCAAUUAACCCUAGAUCCUACGUUUGAGCUCCGUUUAACCUCGUUCAAGAUACGUUAGAUGCAUAACAAUGUAAAUUACACGUUAGUGGUAAUAUUUUCCUUCACACAUGUUUUUUAAAAUAAAAUUUAUAUUAAAAUUGAUUAAUGCCUCACAAAUGAGUUCUUCUCUAAAUAAAAUCUAUUUAAUGUUAAACAUCAUUUUUCAUAAUAAUUGUUAAUUUGAUUAAUUCCUACUUCAUACCCUCUUCUAAAUAAAAGCCAAUUAGGUUAUAUAUCAGUUUUUCAUAAACUAAAGUUAAUUGGAUUAAUUCCUACCUAAAUAAUUCUUCCAAUUAAAAGCCACUUAGAGUUAUACCUCGGCGUUUCAUAAAUUAAAUUCAAUUUGAUUAAUGUUUAUUCAAUUUGUUUUCUAAAUAAAAUCUAUAUAGGUCAUAUCUCGAGUUUUCAUAAUUAAAUAUUAAUUUGGCUAAUAUAAAUAUAAAUGUGUUUUUAAUUUAAUCUACUUAGUUGAACUCGAAAUGUAAAGCUAUACGCUUACAUGUCUACAUGUAUCUUAUUUUCAAAUUAAAUGUUUAAUUUGCAUAAAUUGUACUUAAAUAUUUAUAAAUAAAAUUGGGCUAAGCUUUACACAGUCUUUUCUUAUGAAAAUAUAAAUAUGACUUGAUUAAUUCUAACUAAGGAUAUUUCUCUGAAAUAUAUUUACAAUAUUUUUCUCAACUAAAAUAAAUGAAGCUUGUAGGUCUCAUCUUUCUUUUAUAUUUUAAAACUCUCGAUAGCUUUAUCGUUUCAACCAUAGUUCUGUUCUCAGCGUCUCUUCCGUUCACGUAAUCUUAGAAUCGAGCCCUAUCCUUUAGUACGCUCUUUUAAAGCUUGUCUUUUGUUUUGGUGUAUUGUUCUUAGUUGUACUUGUUUGUUGCUUGCAUGUUUGUGCCGAUGUUUGCUCCGAGUAGAAGGAUCGUUGUUCGGAAGUUUUGAAGAGUAAGAGCUUCAAGAGAGCAAGAGCCGAAAAGCAGUAAGAGUAACUUUCUGUUGGAGAAAGGCAAGUGUCCCUAACCAACCUUCUACCUAUGCUUUGUUAAUAAUAUCAUGAUAAUGUUAAUCGGAACAUGGAGCGACCACCCAGGAAAAUAGUGCUACCACAAGAUUAAAUGGCUCUGGUCUUGGCUGAAUAAUUAGAAACUCUAGUAUGAGGUAAUCUUACCGAAAGGGCAAGAGGGGAGGCGUUGCUGGGGUAUAGCACUCGCUCUCUUGGAAAGUGGGCUUUGCUAAGACACUGUACCCACUAGGGGACUGUUAUGCUCUGCUUCGACCUGAAACCUUAGCGGGUUACCACUUACUAGCGAAUCUUUGUAAAGGCCUCGUAGCGUCCCUAUGCAAUCACACCUCGGAAGUGUGGUAUGAUGCCUAGCUAGCAUCGCAUGGUUGGGUCCAAAGUUCUUUGAACUUUUACGCGACUUGUGGGUAAAGAUGUGCCACCUCUGCAGAGUGUAAAACUGAUCGAUCAGCCGUGCUCACGGUCAAGAGCGGCUUGGACCCUCACAUGAUUAAGUAAACUUGAAGAUGGACUCAAAUCGUUAUUCUGGUUAUUUCUUGUGGCCUUGCUGAGUACCAACCAUAAGUGUACUCACCCUUGCUUACUGCUGCUCAGAAGAAGAAGGUGUGUGAAGUAUUCCGAAGAUGAUGCUGAGUUCUAGGCGUACGCAACCCCCAGUCAAUUGCAUGUGAAGUUUGGAGCCUCCGUCUCCAGUAUUUGACCUGUGUAUCUCUGAUGGUUUUGUAAGUCUUUAUUUGUAUCUUUUUACGUGAUAUUGUUGCUGUUAUUCACUUAUGAUGUCACUAUAUGUAUGAAACUUGAUCCUGGCAUACAUAUAGGUAGCACUUGGUUUUGUCCUUAAAACCAGGUGUGAUAGAAGUGGUAUCAGAGCUGUAUCGACUGUAGGACAUAAGCCUAGAUAGUAAUGGUCACUUCUUAAGGUCUGUUUUACCAUAAAAAUAAUUCUUACCUUAUCCUUGACCUCUCUGAUCUCUAUUCUCACUCCUUGUACAUCUUAUCUACACCUUGGUUUCUUAUUUUUGAUCAACUUUGACUCUUAGUCCUUUACACCCACCUUGUUUUGCUAUUGCUAAACCCUCAAUCCUUGUCUAUUGACUUACUCCCUCCUUGAUGCUUUCUUGAUCUUGAUUAUACCUCUCCUUUGAUGAAUAACUUUCCCUAUUCCAAGCAUCUCACCUCCUUUUGGUUUGUUGGUGAAAAUGCUUACGCCUUACUCCUUGAUAUUUUUUUUAUCUCCUACUUAUCCUUUUAUACGCAUCUUCUCCUUGAUUUUUUUUAAUAUAUCCACCUUGUCCCGUUGUAUCUCUCCUUACUUUUCAAAUACCUUGAAAUCUUUCCUUGAAUUUUGAUUCCAAUGUAUCUUCUAUUUUUUUUUAAAAAAAAAGUUUAGAUGAUCCGCGUCACCUGUUCUAAAGCCCGUUCAAGUAUUAUGAAGAAUGAAGCCAUCAGUUCACCACCAGAAGUCAAGCCUCAGCAACCGAAAAAGUAAUCCCUUCAUAGGUGUACCCUCUUGCAGUCUUACUAACAACGUUUAGCGUCAUUCCUUAAUUUUGUGUUGACUGGUGAAAUUUUGUGCUUGCAUGAUAACGCUUGUCUUUAUGAAAUUGUGUGAUUUGUUUCUUUGUCAUGAUUUUUGGUGUAUUGUGGGUCUUCUAUCUACAAUGACAUCAGUUGCCUAGCUGGGUUCUUCUUUUGAAUCUCCCAUAUCCUUGUCAUCCAUUCCUUUCUACCUGAGCCAAUGAAGGACAACAGAAAAGAGAGAACUAAAGUCAACACCAACGUCAACAAGCAGGAGUUAACAUCACCACCACCGUCUCGCUAGAAGCAAGUUGAAGAAUAGAAGGCUUUACUCUGAUCUCUAUUUUACUCUAAUGAUGAUUACAAGAACCAAAGAAGAUGAAGAAAGCAGGGAGAUUCUACUCGCGACAAGCAAAGAUGAAAGACUAUCCACUCUGCUAUAAGAAUCUUGUUGUCUCCCUCCUCUUUGUUUUUUUUUCUCGUCGAAUCUGCUUGUGCCUCCCACAUCCUUGUUAUUUUUUUUCUUUCUAUCUCCCAAUUCUGAUGGACAUCAAGAAGAGAGUGAAGGCAACACCAAUGUCAAUAAGCAGAGGCUAUCGCCACCAUCACCGUUGAAAUAGAAGCAAGUCGAAGAAAAAAAACCCUACUCUAGUUUCUUUGUCAUCUUGUUGUUUUUCUAUCCUUCCUUCUAUCUUACUCUGAUGACGACCCAAGAAAAGACGAAGAUAUCAUGAAGUUCUCUACCUUGUUCUGCAAUUUUAUCCAUUUCCUAUUUUAUUCUGAUCCUAUGUUUAUCACCCAACCAAAUGGCGAGUCCCAAUGAAAAUCAUGAAGAUAGAGCCAAUGAAGAAGAUCUUAACAUUCCACUUGUAUCCGCAUUAUUUGAAUGCAAGGUGUUAGAGUAUAUGGCAGCACAAACUCGGACUUUACAAGCAAUGGCUCAAACCAUGGUCAGUACCCCUCAGUAAAUCACAGAGCACGCCCCACUCCCUCGGAACCACAACCCUAUCACCAGUGAUGACCAUCACGUUUUGUUUGCUCCACCACCGUUCAACAACGAGAAGUUAUUAGCUAUGCAGGCUCAAGUCUUACAAGGAAGGAUACAGACUGACACAUCAUCUCCUCAUAACAUGGAGAUGAUCAAGGCUAGAAUUCCCACUGGACUAGUGAAGAGGCAAGUUGCUGAAGCCUGGGACGAUCAAAGGAACAAGAGAAGCCAUGGAACAUCGGAGCUGGAAAUGGAGAGACAAUAUGAAGAUGUUAAGAUUCCAGGAACACCAUCAUCUUCCAUGUCUCCAGAAAGAAGAUAGCCUAAUGACAGCUAAAGCUAGACAACAUCAUCAUUUAGAUAUCAAUAAGAAGAGGAAGUUGUAUGCCCAAGGGCCAUCCCUAGAGGAAGUUACUCAAGAUGAAGAUAGUACUCAGACUAUGAACCUUGAGGGUUGGAGUAUCUCUUUCAAAGAAAUUCAGCCCUGGAGGAGUAGGCUGUAACAACUCUACCUAAAUUAAGUGCUUUUAACUCUAAACCAGUGAUAAAUCCCUAAGUUAAGAAGUGAAAUGACCUUUAUAAACCUAAGAAGCUCUUUUGGAGUUUGUUUUAAAGCUUGAAAUUCUAUAUACAAACUUAAGUUUCUGCCCAAAUAAGAGUUGUAAAAAUUUUAAAUUCCAACAACUUUUGUUAAAGGCGCUUUAACCAUUUCGGAGUGGAAGGGAGUCAAAAACAGCAACCAAAGCCGGCUUUCCUAAAGGACCCUGAAAAUCUCUUAAGUCCUGGGAUUCGAGUUUUUCCUUCAUCUUUGCAAGCUUUCAUCUCCCGUUUUCCUAUCUAAACUCGAGUUAGAGCCUUAAUAGAAGUUGUAGUACCUCAAGAAUGUUCCAACUUUGUUACACUGACCCGGAUCCAAAUCGGACCCGAACUUGUUCAAAAUCCCGGUGAAAGUGAGGUAAACCAGUCAACUCACCCUGGUGCCUUGAAAAUCCUAAGUCUGGAAUUCUAGAUUUUUGGCUAACUUUGGCGUAAAAUAUCUUUGAAUCCUUUCACAAUCUAAACUGACACCUUAAACAAAGUUUGAAGAACGAUCAGAGUUGAACAAGUUUGUUUAAGGGAGUUUCGGGAGUCGUGUUGAAAGAUUCGGAGAAGGAUCGCUCCAAAGCUGGUCGGGCUUGCUGCCCGAAGGGAGCCUCGACGCCCACGCGCCCGAGCAUGUUCGCUCGCGCGCCGCGUGGCCGCCGGCCACCGGCAGCUCGCCGGCGCCCUAUCCCCAGCGCGACAGCGACAGGACAAGAGCCACGGCGCCCAACCCGCGCCCGCGACAGGACGGAGCGAGCGCAGGGCUAGCCAAUCGCCGGCCGUGUGCAGGUCGCCUUCCACCUGCCACGGGUCUGCUCCGCCAACCCUGUUCUGCCUGUUCGCCGAGAAAGCUGAGACGCCCCCGACGUCCCGCGCCUCCGCCCGCUCGCCCAACCCCCAUGGUAGUCUUUCCGCCUCGCCCGCCCGACAGACCGGAAGCCCCAGACGCGCGCCGCCCAAGGCCAAUCGCCGCCGAAGACCACCGGUAGCUCCGCCUCCUCUGCCCAAUGGCGUCGUCGGCCAAUGGCCGCCUCGCUCGAGCACUCGCCGCUCCCGGCCUUAUCCUUUCCCCACCGGAGCCCCGCCUCGACCCUCCGCGCCACCCCAUCCCUAUAAAAGGGAACCCCCUCACCGGCAAUGCCACCCCUUGCCACCGCCGCUUUCUCCUCGGAGCCACCGCUUUCUCCCCGCGCCGCUGCUGAGCUUCCGUGGAGCUCACCCCCUUGCGCCACCCCCAUACUCCGGCGACUUCGCCGUCACCCUCAAGCCGCUUCUCCCAACCCCACAGCCGCCUGUUCCCGCGCACGGUUCUAGAGCUUGCUUGUGCCCACCAGAAGCACCGCCACCGCAGGAGCACCCUCGAAGUCUCACCGCCGCCCCAACCUUCGUGCGUACAACCUUCCGCCCCAGCCUACUCCUUUCGACCCCAAGGCUUCACCGGUCGACCUGGAGGUAAGCUGCUUAACCUUUCUGUUCGGUUCGUCCGACCCCUUUCCGUUCGGUUCGCCCGACCCCUGUCCUUUUUCGUUUCGCCCGACCCUUUGUUUCGGUUCGCCCGACCCCUUUUCUUUUCGUCUCGCCCGACCUUUUUCCGUUCGCCUUGCCCGACCCUGCCAAGUUCGCCGACCCUUUCUCUGCCUCGCCCGAGGGCUCGGUUGUAACUUUUUCUUUGACCCGAGGGUAUCGGUGAAAUGUUUUCGGGGAUUCCUCUGUGUUGAGUCUGAGGACCUCGGUACGGUUUUCCUUAAACCUGAGGGUCAGACCCUAAGUUUUUCUCCAAUCCGACCCUCUCAUCCUGCUCUCCACCAACAGAAGUUGAACUUCCCCACCUUUCCUGUAGCUUUGCUACAAGUGUCCGUGUUAAAACAUGAGUGUGUUGAAAUGACCAUCUAAAAUGUUAACCCCUGCAUUGCAUUUCCGUGUAGAGUUGAAUCUCGCCGACGGAACGUACGAGCUUCAUCCAGCAUCGGAAGAAGACCCCGCCGAGGAACUGCACCCCUUCGAAGGAGAGCCCGAACCAACGCAAGACCCCGAGGACCCGCAAGCUUUUUCUGAAGGCAAGCCCCGGUGCAUGAACUCCCUGUUUUACUUUCAUGCCACUUAUUGAUUACUUGAUUGCGCAUUUACGUUUCGAGGAGUUGUAAUGGAACCUUAGAUGCAUAACUUAGUACCUUGUUUUUGAAUACUAGUUGCUAAGGCCGAGUAGUUGCUUUGCUUGAUAGGUUUCGGUAAAAGUCAAGUGAUCUCCUGUCACUCGCGAGUUAUAGGAGUUGAAUGUUUCAGAUUUGUCGCAACUAUAAGGACGACGGACGGGGUCAGGCUUGUGUUCGAUACUUGGUGGAUUGCCCCGUCUGUCUAAAUGAAAAUGAACUAAGGUCGAAACGUGUCGGCGUUCGUGAUCAAGUGUUUGAAAGUACUAAUCUCAUACCUAGUAUGGGAUGGGGAAGCCUAGUACCUGAUUGAACUGGGACGUGGCAUACCUUCCGGCUGUCCUUGGAAUGUCGUUCCCAUGGUGCAUCAUGUGGGUGCAAGUGCGGUCACAGUGCAGCAAUAGGUCGGGACUGUGGAGCAUUGCAUGCCAAAGGAAGUUGGCCCUGACACGUGCCUAAGGGAUCGAUGGGGACGGCUGACAAAUGAAGGGACCCUUCGUGGUGCGCGGAUGUCGUGAGAUUAGGUUUGCCAUGCAUGGUUAAUGAAUUCGAAUCAAUUCAUCUGCCUCUCACAGAUUGGGACUACUUGAUCGCUAUUCUGCACUGAGUAAAGAUGGAACAUGAUGAUGAUUUUAAUCUUGAUGUUUGUCAAGUAAUUGCUUGGAAACCAUGUUUGUUUAGUAUAAGUUGCUAAUCUAGAAUGGAUAAAGAACAUAGAACAUGAGCUAAAAGGCUGAAAGUAAGGACUGACUUUAGACGCUUUUGGCAAGAAAACCCCAGAGCCAGAAAGCCUUGCAUGUCUAGGUCUCGGUCGUGUCUUUCCGAUGGGUCAGUCUUGCUGAGUACUAGUUGCUCAGCCUUGUUGUGGCUAAUCUUUUUCAGGUAAUGUCAGUAGCUUGGGUGUUGGUACCACUUGGCCGACCCAGCUUCCUCCAGGCUGGACCGUCGAGUGGGAUCCUUCCUCGGAUGGCAAAGGAAGGAGUUUUUGAUGUCAUGAUCGGCUCCGUCAUGAUGUCAUGUAUCGACGUGUAGCUUCCGCUAGUUUUCCUUUGACUUCGAACCAUGCAAAAUUUCGGUUUGAAUUUUGAAAACUCUGAUGUAAUAAAAUGUGGAACUUGUUGUCAUGAUGGAAUGUUGUAAUCUCUGUGCUACUCACCUUCGUGUGAGCGAUGCUUCUCGAUCCUGUUUAUGUGGUUUAUCGGAGGAAAUCCGACGGUCGACCAAGUUGACUUGCUUAAAGUGCAUAAUCGCAUGUCAGGCGACUUCAAUGCAUUUUAGAUAGGUUAAUUUGGGCGGUUCCGCCACAUAGGCGAGCCUAGAAGCCAACUAGUAAAGCACGUCAAGAGAAGAUGGAGUUACCUCAACCAUUGGCAGAUAACAAUACUCAGCCUAGUUCCCACGAACCACAGCCUAAAGUUGUUCACCAUCCACAUGGUAACCCCAUCAAUAAGAAUCCUGAUGCACUAGUUAUUCCAUCGAUAGUUACUAGGGAGCAGAAAGAAAACCAAGAUGGAUGUGUAAAAGUAUUGUGCUUCAGAUGCGAUGAAGAAGGCCAUUAUGCCAAUAACUGUCCAAUAAAGCAUAAGUCGACCAAGUCCGCUAGAGCCAAAUUGUAUUGCCUCCAGUGUGGAGAAAAUGGACAUCUUGAUUAGUUGGUGUGCAAAAGAGGAAGACGAUCAACCCCAGGGCCAAGGACCCAAUAGCCCUGCAUUCAAACCGACAACAUUAGUUGGUCUCUUUGUCAGGACAAAUGAUCAGGACGCCUCAGUCAGGAAAGAAUGCCAUCAAUUUCCAACGCCCAAUUCCCAUGCCACAUCCAGUGGCCAAAGUACCAAAGUAAGAAAAACAUGUUUCUACCGCAAAGAAGAGGGACAUUUCAUCAGACAAUGUUCCAAGAAGCGUUUGGACCAGAUGGAGAAGAAGACUAAAGGAUGUGUAUGAAGACUUGAAGGAUGACAAUCGAGCCAGAGGGAAGCAAUUCAGCUCUAUUCAAAUCACUUUACCAAGAAAUGAAGAAAGUUCUUCAAGGCCAAAGAAGCAGAGGAAAGGAAUGGAUACUUAAAAGAGGAAUUAGACUACGUAUCCCUGAAGUGUUCUAUGUGAUGUAGUGAAGCAUAAAGAAGCAUGAUUGAGAGGCUUACAUAAGGAUGAACGAUCUGGAAGGAAGCUAAUAAGUGCUGGAUGCUACCCACCUAAACCUGUCUCUUGCUAGCCUUUGCGAAUCUCAGGACAAGAUUCUUGUUAAGGGGGGUAGUGUUAUCACACCCUGAAAUUUUCGAAUUUCAGGAUGUGAUUAAAAAGAGUAAUUGAACAACGAUUUUCUCAUAAUUUUAAAAUUUUCCCAACAUUUAUUUUUCUUUACAGGAAAUUUAGUAUAGGAAAAAUAAUUUUUUUUGCUUUUAUAAAUUAAAUAAUGUUAUUCUAUGUCUGUGCAUUCAUGUUGAUGCAUCUUGGUGUUUCUUGAGUGCAAAAAGUUUUAAAAAUACGUUUAGACGUUGUUUAGAUUCUUUUGAGAAUUUUUCAAUUUUUUUCUGGAAUUUAUUCUCUUUUUCCUAGAGCUAAAUCCAAGUUUUGGAAGGCUCUAGAGUCCUUUUCACGAGCUCCAAGUAUUUUACUUGGAUUCUUUGUGUCCCAAUCCAUCUCUGAGAUUUAUCUCAGAUUUUUUGGAAUUUUCUAGGUAUUUUUCUCGCUUUAGAAAACGAGUCCGGCUAUUUCUGGAAUUGUUUUCACGCAGAUAAACAAAAUCGGAAAUUCCGAAAUUAAAAAGUCAACUCAAAAAUUGGCCCCCUCCUUCUCUCUCUCUCCUGUUUCUGUACGCAACUUAACCGUACGUAAACUUGGCCGCCGCCUGGUCUGUUCGUCCUGCCUGCCCAACACCUCCCGCUCGCUUGUGCCGUUGCCUGCACGCGCACCGUCGCCUCCUAGCCCGGCCACCGCCGCCUGCACCACCCGCCCGGGCCUCUGCCGUGCCGGAACGCCGGUAGGCCGCCGGCCAGGAGCUGCGCCAUGCCCCUGGCGUGAGGAAGAAGAUGAAGCGCUGCUUUUCGAUCUAGCCCCUGGAGAAUCUGUUAAUUUCUGUUCCUAUUUCUUGUGUCUUGCAAACCUUGUAGAAAACCCCCUGUAACUUUGAGAUCCUUUCAAUCUAAUCCAAACCUUGAACUUUUGCAGAUCUAACCCGAAGUUUUCAGCUUUCCGUGAGCCCUAUUCCUUGUGUCUUGUCAAUCUUCUCACCUAACCCUCCAAGUCUACAGUUAAUUAUGUUUAGACCCCUGCAACGUCAAUUAACCCUAGAUUCUACGUCUGAGCUCCGUUUAACCUCGUUCAAGAUACGUUAGAUGCAUAACAAUGUAAAUUACACGUUAGUGGUAAUAUUUUCCUUCACACAUGUUUUUGAAAAUAAAAUUUAUAUUAAAAUUGAUUAAUGCCUGACAAACGAGUUCUUCUCUAAAUAAAAUCUAUUUAAUGUUAAACAUCAUUUUUCAUAAUAAUUGUUAAUUUGAUUAAUUCCUACUUCAUACCC